GCCAGCAUGGUAUAGUGGUUUGAGCAUCAGACUACAGUCCUGGAGACUAGGGUUCGAAUCCCUGCUCAGCCA